rnacentral:lncRNA from 1 species
CCCCACCUCCCCGAUCUCGCCGAGCCCCGCCGCCGAGCCCCCCCCGCCCAGCGGCGGUGACAGCCUCCGCGUCUCCUGGAUGAUUUCCGCCGCUGUCGCCGCUGCAGCCGUCGCCGUCGCCUUCUAGAUCGGAUCAUCUCUCACCGCCGCGGAUUCUCGAUCAGAUGAUCAUCGGACGGUCGUCGUCGUCGCGCUAUUUUUCCUGACCUGAUCUGUGUUUUAUUGUACCGCCAUUGUUGUCGUCUUUAUCAAUAUCCUUUUUAUUUAUUUCUUUCUUUUCUUUAGAUUUUUUUUCUUUUCUUUUCUUGUACAUGAGAGAGUGAGGCAGUGAGUGAGAGAUUGAGAUUUGAGAGUUGUGGUGGUGGUGAUUGUUGUUGUAAUAAUAUUAUUAUUUUAGUGAUUCUUUUUUUUUUUUUCCAUUUUACCCCUUAUCUCUUCAACCAUUCUCCUAAUUCUUUGCUGCGGUUUGUGAAGGCAAAAUGCGAAAUUAGAUGACGCGGCCAUCGGAGCGGGACGAAAGUCGCCGACUUUAGCUAGUGGACGACUCUCUCUCUCUCUUAGAAUCUUCUGGUUAAUUUAAUAAUAUGAUUUUAGGAAAAAUAAUAUACUUAAAUCAGGAACGGACGAGAAUCUGACGUCACGUGCAGCGUGUGCCAGCUGUAUGGCAAAAGGACUCCGAGGCCAUGUGCGUGGGGAUUGGAAUCACGUGGGGUGGGGUUCCAAUGGAGGAAGUAGUGAGAGAGACAUAAAGCGGGAUUUGGGUGGUGGAAGGCGAUUGGGUGCACGUGUCGGUGGAUGGAGAAGUGGGGGGUAUACGGGGUUCUGGAAGUGGUGGCGGAGAUUUGUUGUUGAGGAGAUGGAAAAUUAGGGUUCGGUGGGAAGGGAAGAUGAGGGAGUGAGUGAGUGACUUGGUUUUUGGUUGCAUGUGAUGAUGAUGUUAGGGGAGAAUAGGUGAAGGAAUGGUAGGUAGGAGUGAACAAGUGAGCCUUCAUUUUUGUUUCAUGUCCAAAGAACUAGUGCUUGGCCAGGCUCGGCACAUUGGAAUCAAAUAAGGAUUAAAUAUUUGUGAUCAGGCGAGAGGACAUGAAAUUAUAUCAUGUCUGCAUGUUUAAUUUUGAUGAUGCAUUAAUAUUUCUUGGUUUGUUGUGUUCUCAUACUAUAUUCUUGUUAGUAAG